rnacentral:tRNA from 1 species
GGGGAUAUGGCGAAAUCGGUAGACGCUACGGACUUAUAUCAUAAUUUUUUUUAAUUAGUGUGAAUCCACUCCAAU